rnacentral:rRNA from 1 species
CUCAGGGAGGUAGUGACAAGGAAUAACAACACUGGAAAUUUUAUUUCUAGUGAUUGGAAUGAUGGGAAUUUAAACCCCUUUCAGAGUAACAAUUGGAGGGCAAGUCUGGUGCCAGCAGCCGCGGUAAUUCCAGCUCCAAUAGCGUAUAUUAAAGUUGUUGCAGUUAAAAAGCUCGUAGUUGGAUGUCUGCUGGAAGCAAUCAGUCCGCCCUAUUUGUAGGGUGUGCACUUGAUGAAUUCUGGCAUCUAUGUCCUAAUGUGAUAGAUACGGCGGUGUAUAUGGGUUAAUCCUAUAUACCCGUUUUUGUAUAUUAUAUUGGGAUAAUACCGUUACUUUGAGAAAAUUAGAGUGUUUGAAGCAGGCUAAUUGCCUUGAAUACUGCAGCAUGGAAUAACAAUAUAGGAUUUCGGUUCUAUUUUGUUGGUUUCUAGGACUGAAAUAAUGAUUAAUAGGGACAGUUGGGGGCAUUCGUAUUUAACUGUCAGAGGUGAAAUUCUUAGAUUUGUUAAAGACGAACUACUGCGAAAGCAUUUGCCAAAGAUGUUUUCAUUAAUCAAGAACGAAAGUUAGGGGCUCGAAGACGAUCAGAUACCGUCGUAGUCUUAACCAUAAACUAUGCCGACUAGAGAUAGGAAAAUGUCAUUUUUCUGACUU